AUUGAACGCUGGCGGCAUGCUUUACACAUGCAAGUCGAACGGUAACAGGGUGCUUGCACCGCUGACGAGUGGCGAACGGGUGAGUAAUGCGUCGGAACGUGCCGAGUAGUGGGGGAUAACGCAGCGAAAGUUGUGCUAAUACCGCAUACGUACUGAGGUAGAAAGUGGGGGACCUUCGGGCCUCACGCUAUUCGAGCGGCCGACGUCUGAUUAGCUAGUAGGUGAGGUAAAGGCUCACCUAGGCGACGAUCAGUAGCGGGUCUGAGAGGAUGAUCCGCCACACUGGGACUGAGAAACGGCCCAGACUCCUACGGGAGGCAGCAGUGGGGAAUUUUGGACAAUGGGCGAAAGCCUGAUCCAGCCAUGCCGCGUGUCUGAAGAAGGCCUUCGGGUUGUAAAGGACUUUUGUCGGGGAGGAAAUCCCCAGCGUUAAUACCGCUGGGGGAUGACAGUACCUAAAGAAUAAGCACCGGCUAACUACGUGCCAGCCGCCGCAGUAAUAC
rnacentral:rRNA from 1 species